rnacentral:rRNA from 1 species
UACGGAGGGUGCAAGCGUUAUCCGGAUUCACUGGGUUUAAAGGGUGCGUAGGUGGGCAAGUAAGUCAGUGGUGAAAUCUCCGGGCUUAACCCGGAAACUGCCAUUGAUACUAUUUGUCUUGAAUACUGUGGAGGUCAGCGGAAUAUGUCAUGUAGCGGUGAAAUGCUUAGAUAUGACGUAGAACACCAAUUGCGAAGGCAGCUGGCUACACAAAUAUUGACACUGAGGCACGAAAGCGUGGGGAUCAAACAGG